UCAGGCCCGGUCCAAUGCAGUACGUAGAUUACGCCUUGGCGUCGGGCGCAGGCGAGGGGGGGCGCUGUGUGGAGUCCUUGGCAGCACCCCCGUUUUGCUCCGGUCACAGUGUUUGUCCAAAUUGUCCUGGCGCCGGCAAUGGAGGCCCUGAGUGCAGCGCAUGCACACAACGGCACAGGACUGGCAUGCCAUCGCCUAAAAUGGCCGAUGGGGCUUCUUUGUCCUGGCGCCGGCAAUGGAGGCCCUGAGUGCAGCGCAUGCACAGGACUGGCAUGCCAUCACCCAAAAUGGCCGAUGGGACUUCUAUGCGCACGCGCACAGGACUCCCAUCAGCCAUUUUGGCUGUUUUUGUGCAGGCAUAGCCUCCAGCCACCCACCACGUGGAGCAGCCAGCCAGGAGGUGAUAGGGCCCGGCUGACUGAUCGUAGCAGAGCAGCUUCUAUCUUGCUGUUAAAACCAUCUCACUUGUGCCUGCAUGCCCAGUCAGUGCCCACCUUCAGGUCAGUCAGCAGCAGCAGCAAUGCAAUGCAUACAGUCAUGAUAAAAAAAUUGUUUUUGAAUAUUUUUAAUUGAUGUUUUUUAAUUUACAAUUAAAAAUAAAAGAAAAAACAUGGAAUUCGUGGUGGGGGAGGGGGGAAUUGGGUGAGGGGGAGAGGAUCGGUAUAUUCCAUUGGAUCUUCGGUUCAAUGAGUCUAGUCUCUUUGUGGAGCAAGUUGCUGGAUGUAGAGGAGUAGUUGUUUUAUUUUAUUAGGGGGCAGAUUGUGCCCCCCUUUUAUGUUGCCUGGGUUGGCUAUUUCUUAUUUCAGUUAUGGAGUUCCUUCAAUCUGUGUCUGUCCUUUUCUUAUAUAUUCCUGUUUCUUUGAUUGGUUUUCCAUUAUGCUUCUUCAUCAGGAAAGUCAGUCUGUCCAUGUUCUUUAUUUCCCAUAUCUUUGAUUACCAUUUUUUAAAUGUUCCCUAACUGGCUGCUCUCCUCAUCGCCACCAUCCUGAUUUACCUUGAUUCAGACCGCUCCACAUGGAGCUGGAGCUGAUAGAGGGAGCUCAUCCGUGCUCUCCCCAGGUUGGAUUCGAACGGGCAAGUCAUCAGUCCUGCUGGCACACUGUGCUAUUGGGGGCUCCCACCUUCCCUAUGAUUAGUAGGUUAAAGAGCUGGGUCUGUUUAGCCUGCAGAAGAGAAGGUUGAGAGGAGACAUGAUCACCAUGUUUAAAUAUCUAAAACAGGGGUCCCCAAACUAAGGCCCGGGGGCCAGAUGCGGCCCUCCAAGGUCAUUUACCUGGCCCCCACCCUCAUUUAUAAUAUAAUAUUUUUAUAUCAGUUUUAAUAAUAUAAUAUAUUGUAUAUACAUAUGAUAUUGAUAAUAAUAUUAUCAUUUUAUACAAUAUAAUACUAAUAAUAAUACCAUAUAAUAAUAUUAAUUAUAUGUUAUAUAUUACAUAUAAUGUUACAUAUAGUGGUAUAGUUCAAUAUAGUAAUAUAUAAUGCUAAUAUUGUGCUAUGCUAAUAAUAUAAUAUAUUGUAUGUACAUAGAGCUGCUCUGAGUUCCCUUCAGGGUGAGAAGGGUGGGAUAUAAAUGUAGUAAAUAAAUGUAGUAAAUGAAUAAAUAAAUAAUUUUGGACUUCGGCUUGCCCAAAGUCUGAAAUGACUUGAAGACACACAACAACAAUAAUCCUAAUUAACCUGACUAUCUCAUUGGCCAGAAGCAGGCCCACACUUUCUAUUGAAAUCCUGACAGGUUUAUGUUGGUUAAAUUUAUUUUCAUUUUUAAAUAUUGUAUUGGUCUUUCAUUGUUAUUGUUAUUGUUUUGCACUACAAAUAAGAUAUGUGCAGUGUGCAUAGGAAUUUGUUCGUUUUUUUUUUUCAAAUGAUAAUUCGGCCGCUCAACAGUCUGAAGGAUCGUGGACCGGCCCUCUGCUUUAAAAGUUUGGGGACCCCUGAUCUAAAAGGAGCAGGCUUGUUUUCUGCUGCCUUGGAGACUAGGACUCAAUGGAGCAGUGGGUUCAAAUUACAGAAAAGGAGAUUCCAACUGAACAUUAGGAAGAACUUACUGACUGUAAGAGCUGUUCAGCAGUGGAACUCACUGCCUCAUAGUUCAGUAGAAGCUUCUCCUUUUAAGGUUUUUAAAUAGAGGCUGGAUGGCCAUCUUUUGGGGGUGCUUUGAUUGUGCUUUUCCUGUAUGGCAGGGUUUGGGACUGGAUGUCCCAUAUGAUUCUAUGAUUAGCUGACUGGUUAUUUCUGACCUCAUCCUGAGUAAUCCAGUUUAUGUGGGUUGGGUGUCUCCAUUAAACUGUUUUGGUCUAUGAAAGGAUGAACUAACUGGAUUUCCUUUGUAAUGAUUUCAUUUGGAUGAUUUCAUUUGAGCAGAGCUACCUAAAGUGGGAGCCCUGAUGGCGCAGUGUGUUAAUGUGCUGAGCUGCUGAACUUGCGGGCCAAAAGGUCCCAGAUUCAAAUCCCGGGAGCGGAAUGAGCGCCCACUGUUAGCUCCAGCUUCUGCCAACCUAGCAGUUUGAAAACACGCAAGUGUGAGUAGAUCAAUAGGUACCGCUCCAGCGGGAAGGUAACGGCGCUCCAUGCAGUCAUGCCGGCCACAUGACCUUGGAGGUGUUUAUGGACAACACCGGCUCUUCGGCUUAGAAAUGGAGAUGAGCACCAACCCCAAGAGUCGGUUACGUCAAGGGAAAACCUUUACCUUUACCUACCAAAAGUUCUGUGUUAGGUGUGUCAUGCUAGGUGAAAGAUUCUAUAAAUUGUACGGAAGGUAACCUUGCCCAACUUUCAUGAUGGGCCUGAGGUUAUUAUGGAACUUUUCUCUAUUGGAUAGAAGGAAUAAUAAGCAGAUAUUGGCAAAAUAUUUAAGAGACAUUUAUUUAUGGUAAUUUCUUUAUGACUGAUCUACAAACCAUCAGCUUUUUUUCCUUGUCAGAAGCGACUUGAGAACAUACUGCAAGUUGCUUCUGGUGUCAGAGAAUUGGCCAUCUACAGAGAUGUUGCCCAGGCGAUGCCCAGAUGUGUUACCAUCCUACUGGGAGACUUCUCUCAUGUCCCUACAAGCUAGAGCUGACGGACAGGAGCUCACCCUGUCUUGCAGAUUCGAACUGGCAACCUUUAGGUCGGCAACCCAACCUUCAGUUCAACAGUUCAGCUGGCACAAGAGUUUAACCCGUUGUGCCACCAUACCUCCUAUCUUCAGGCCUUGGAAAGUUUCCAGGAAAAAUAAUGAGUACAGUAGAGUCUCACUUAUCCAAGCUAAUCCUUGGAUAAGCGAAUAUCUUGGAUAAUAAGGAGGGAUUAAGGAAAAGCCUAUUAAACAUCGAAUUAGGUUAUGAUUUUACAAAUUAAGCACCAAAACAUCAUGUUAUACAACAAAUUUGACAGAAAAAGUAGUUCAAAACGUAGUAAUGUUAUGUUGUAAUUACUGUACUUACAAAUUUAGCACCAAAAUAUCAUGAUAUAUUGAAAACAUUGACUACAAAAAUGGCUUGGAUAAUCCAGAGGCUUGGAUAAGCGAGGCUUGGAUAAGUGAGACUCUACUGUAAUACUAAAUGAUAACAUGAAUCUGUCUAGAGGAGAGUGACUGAAAUGAUCAAGGCUUUGGAGAAUAAUCCCUAUGAGGAGCGGUUUAAAGAUCUGGGCAUGUUUUGCAUGUAGAUGAGAAGGUUGAGAGGAGACUUGAUGGCCAUGUAUAAUAAUGUGAGAGGAAGUCAUAGGGAGGAUGGACCAAGCUUGUUGCCUUCUGCCUUGGAGACUAGAACUUGGAAGAAUGGCUUCAAACAAAUAACCCACAUUACGUGCUUUGAACUGGGAUAUAUGGCAGUAAGGACUCAGACAAUCCAGUUCAAAGCAGGUAAUGUGGGUUAUCCUGCCUUGAUAUCCUGAGUUAUAGAGCUGUGUGGAAGGGCCCAAAUUCUUUCUCCUUCUCUGCCAAAUAAUGCUGGAAAGUGUCCAGAGGAGGGCCACAUCUAAGGCAGGCAUCCUCAGAGGUUGUGAGGUGUGUUGGAAACUAGGCAAGUGGGGUUUGUAUAUCUUUGUUGAGAGGUGUUAGCUGGCCCUGAUUGUUUCAUGUUUGGAAUUCCCCUGUUUUUGAGUGUUCUUUUUUACUGUCCUUUUUUUACUGUCCUUUUUUUUACUAUUUAUUUAUUUAUUUAUUUAUUUCCCAUACUUCUGUCCCGCCCUUCUCACCCGAAGAGGAUUCAGGGUGGCCUCACAACUGGCAACAAUUCAAUGGCCGACAUACAAAUUCCAAUAAUAUAAUGACAAUUAAACUCAAACAUUAAAACAAAAACUACUAAAAACAACAAUUACAACCACAUAAGUUCAAAAUCAUAGUCCAGAAUCAGUCCAAUGGUCAGUACUUAAAAAGUCCUCAAUUAUUGCACUGCUAGGAAUAAUGCUCAAUAACCAUAACCAUGUCUAGCAAGGCUAUUCUAUGCUAAUCAAAGUGAUCAACUGCAGUUAUUCACACUUGGCCUUCAUAUUAUCCAACAUUUUUGCUUAUCCAAUGCUCUGCUGGCCCGUUCAUGUUGUUUGGUGUGUGUGUGGGGGGGGGGGGGGGGGGGCACCAAAAUUUCUAUUCGCUUACACUUGAAAAUUAUCUUGGGCCGGCUCUGCUCUUUCUAGUGGGAUUUAUAUACUGCAUUUGAAUUUCUCUUGAAUAUUUUAUUUAGGUCUUUAAGAUUAGAUAACAGAACUCAAGCUGAGCAAUAUCUGACCUUUUUUCUUUCUUUUACUCAACAUCAUCCAAAACACAUCCACUCCCAACAGAUUCUCAUAACUGUUUCCCCAGUUGUCACCAACGGACUAUUCUGUCCAAAGAUAGGCCCCACUUUUCAAUUUUUCUCUCCCAAUAGAGACUUCUUCCUCUUAAACAGCAUUCUGGGUGCUGGGAUUGUCUGCUUUCAGUUAUUCUCAAGCAUUGCUUAAUAUCUAUUCAUACAAGCCCCACUUAGUAAUAUAUUUGCAAGGUUUCUCCCCAUUUGUUCCAGUAAGAGUUUCAUAUCCUCUUUCUGAUGGGAGAAAAUCCAAAGUUGGCUGCUCCUUCUUCCUGGUUCUCUGGCUGUUUGCUUUCUCAGAGAAGGCAGGUGACAACUCAGCAAUAGCCAAAAAGAAGAAUGGUUUUGGAAACAUUAUUUUUUGGACUGGCAUUCCUAAAAUCCCCCAGCUAACAUGUAGGCACUGUUUCCACUGAAAUGGAUGCCACUGGUGCUGCCAGUUAUAGGAGGCCGUGGUUGGCUCCCCAACUCCAGAAUAGUACUAUUUAACCAUAACAUUCCUCUCUUUUAUAAAUCCUACAAUUGGCAUUUGCCUCUAGCAUUGUUGUGAAAAAGUGAUAAACAAGACCCAGUCUUUUUUGAAGUUCAUCAGAGAUCUCUCCUUGAUCAACAUUGUCAGUUUGUCCAUCUCAGCUAGUUUGCAGAUCUUCGUCAGCCAUUCUUCUUGCCUUGGGAUAAUAGGUUCCUUUCAUCUCUGAGCAUAGAUGGUUUUCCCUGCAGUUAUCACAUAUUGUUCAGUUCACUUCAGUUGGACUUCCCAGCUGAACCGUUUAAAAUCUUGAAAGAUGAUGCUGUUAACGGGAUGCAUGCCAUAUGCAAGCAAAUAUGAAAAACACAAAAAUGGCCAUCAGAUUGGAAAAAAUCAAUUUAUAUCUCCAUACCAAAAAAGUAAAACUCUAAUGAAUGCUCAAAUUUCUAUACAGUGACACUUAUUUCACAUGCCAGUAAGGUAAUGCUCAAGAUCCUUUAAGGCAGACUCCAGCAAAACAUGGAGCAGGAGUUGCUAGAUGUACAAGCCGGGUGUAGAAAAGGCAGAGGAAUGAGAGACCAAAUUGCCAAUCUCUUCUGGAUAAUGGAGGAAGGUAGAGUUAAAGAAAAACAUCUAUUUCUGUUUUAUUGACUAUUCUAAAGUCCUUGACUGUGUGGAUCAUAAUAAAUUGUGGCAAGUUCUUAGUGGUGUGGGGAUACCAAGUCACCUUGUCUGUUCCCUGAGGAAUCUGUUUAACAACCAAAUAGUAACAGUAAGAACAGACCACAGAAAAAUAGUCUGGUUCAAGAUUGGGAAAGGAGUAUGACAAGGUUGUAUAUUCUCGCCCUAUCUGUUCAACUUGUAUGCAGUUGCAUGCAAUGUGCAGGGCUUGAUGAAUCCACGUCUGGAGUUAAAAUUGCUAGAAGAAACAUUAACAACCUCAGAUAUACAGAUGAUACCAUUUUGAUGGCUGUGAGUGAGGAGGAGCUGAGGAGCCUUAUCACCAAGGUGAAAGAAGUUGGGUGCAAAUGUUGGGUUGCAGUUAAAUAUCAAGAAAACCAAGAUUAUGGCAACCAGACUGAUUGAUAACUGGCAAAUAGAAGGAGAAAACAUGGAGGCAGUGACAGACUUUAUAUUUCUAGGGGUGAAGAUUACUGCAGACGCAGACUGCAGCCAGGAAAUCAGAAGACAUUUCCUUCUUAGAGGGAGAGCAAUGGCCAACCUCGAUAAAAUAGUGAAGAGUAGAGACAUCACACUGGCAAAGUAGGUCUGCAUAGUUAAAGUAAUGGUAUUCACCAUAGUAACCUAUGGAUGUGAGAGCUGGAUCAUAAGGAAGGCUGAGCAAACUGUGGAGUUGGAGGAAAAUUCUGAGAGUGUCUUGGAUUGCAAGAAGAUCAAAUCAGUCCAUACUCCAUAUCCCACAUUCCAUAGGAUUUAGUCAUAGCAAAUAAAGUGAUGUCAAACUACAGUAUUCUGUAGUGUAGUUGCACUCUAACAUUGCAGGUUUGCACUCUACCCUGUGAGUUUGAAGCCUCCUAUAGCACACCACUUGUUUGUUUGUUGAUUAAUCUGAAGCCAUAAAAUGAAAAAUAAAUACAAGCAAGAAUGUUUGUACUGAUAUUUGAGUUUGAUUCUGUAAUAUUCCUGACACGAUGCUGAAAUCAAAACAAAACCCUGCGGCUUCAUUUUUAAGCACUUUUAAGGCCAAAUAAGAGAUUAAAGUCUUUAUUACUCAACUCUUUCCACUGAAUUUUUAAUCUAGAUACCUUCUGCAUAGGUUGCUGGCAAAUGCGUUCAGGUUUCCUUGCCAGACAGAUCAGAGUUAUCUGCCAACUGUUUAGCAAUCAUUUGUAAAGCAUCAGAAAGUUUUGUCUACCAAGCUCUGGUCCUGGAAGACUUCACUCACAAAGGAGCUGAUCAGCUGUCAGAUCCAAGCCGAUCGGCAUUCAGUUUUGAUCAAGCUCAUGGCUGAAGCACCUGCACGUUGUUUAAGAAAUGUCAACAGAAGUGAUACAGCCAAGAACAAAACUGGGAGAUUGCAUGUCAAACAAGAAGGUGAACUAUAAAUCCUAGCAACUACAACUCCCAAAUGCCAAGGUCUCCCCCCCACCCCAAACUCCACCAGUGUUCAAAUUUCGGCAUAUUGAGUAUGCGGGCCAAGUUUGGUCCAGAUCCAUCAUUGUUUGAAUCCACAGUGCUCUCUGGAUGUGGGUGAACUACAACUCCAAAACUCAAGGAAUUAGCAGUGCGAAGCAGAAGAACAGGAGGGAGAAAGAAGAAGAGGAAGGAAGAAGAGGGAGACUCCUGAUAAUGCUGCAUUGUGAUGAAAAAGUAUUUGCAGGGGGAAAGACCUUCAGAAUUAGAGGGGAAAAGAGAAUGGACCUUUUAAAACUACAGUUCCCAUUAUUCCAUUGCAUUUAGCCAUGGCAGCUUAAGUGAUACCAAACUGCAUUAAUUCACAAUAUAGAUGCACCCUUGACUUGUAGAUGCACCCUUGACUUGUAGUUUGUCACACAAAUGGGGGAGUAAACCUGAUGCAAAAAGAGAGACUCAUUUUAA